GUGAGGAAUUUUCCGCAAUGGGCGAAAGCCUGACGGAGCAAUGUCGCGUGAAGGAUGAAGGCCUAUGGGUUGUAAACUUCUUUUCUCAGAAAAGAAUUAUGACGGUAUCUGAGGAAUAAGCAUCGGCUAACUCUGUGCCAGCAGCCGCGGUAAGACAGAGGAUGCAAGCGUUAUCCGGAAUGAUUGGGCGUAAAGCGUCUGUAGGUUGUUUAAAAAGUAUUCUGUCAAAGAUUAGGGCUUAACCCUAGAUAGGCAGAAUAAACUUUUAAGCUAGAGUUUGGUAGAGGCAGAGGGAAUUCCCGGUGGAGCGGUGAAAUGCGUAGAUAUCGGGAGGAACACCAAAGGCGAAGGCACUCUGCUGGGCCAAUACUAACACUGAGAGACGAAAGCGAGGGGAGCAAAUGGGAUUAGAAACCCGGGUAGUCC
rnacentral:rRNA from 1 species